AUUUAUAGUCGAGUCUCAAGACAGCGUCGAUGCUCAAGACCGACCUUGAACCAACUUUGUGUUUUAUAAACCGAUCUCGAGACACGACGUUGUCUUGGGAAGUGUAAAAUGACAGGCGAAUCUCAAGUCAUCGAUCGACCUUCCUCAAGACCGCGAUUCUAACCUAACUUUGUUUGUUAUUGUUUGAAUUUUGAAUAUUUUAAAUUCAGUUCCAACAUAUAUUUUUUGUUUUUCUAAUUACAACAAAAAUGUAUGAAGAAGUAAAAGCAUUUUUAGAGUUUAUUGAUAAUAUUGGAGAAGAAAAUCGCCCGGGAAGUAUACAAAAGCGAUAUAUUCAAGAUAAAAAUAUAAUCUAAAAUACAAUGGAGUAUUACAAUAUUGAAGUUCAUCAGCGAAUCAGCGCAUUAACUUAAACAAUAAAGGUUUUAUGCUACUUAUAGGAAUAUAACCAGUUUUUAUGAGGACCCCGCUUUCCAAAAAUGUACAGGUACUAGAAGAGAAAUUAUGUGUAUUAUUGUUCAACAACAAGGUUAUCAAGUCAUUCAAUAUUUGAUCUAAGAGCAUUAAGAGUGAAAUUGUGAAAUGGAAAGAAGUGAAAUUCCAGGAUUAUUAAUAGGAAUAGAUGACAGUAGUGGGUAUGCAUGCAGACACUAUCUACUUACCCCAGUAUUACACCCAGGUAAUGAUCAAGAAAAUAAGAUUUUUACCAUAGUACUCAUGUGAGAACAAGAAAUGUAGAAAAGCUAUUUGGAACCUGGAAAAGAGUUUCCUUGUCUUCAACAAGGUCUACAAACCAAAUUAUAUACAUGUCUUGCAAUAAUAUGUGCUACAGCAGUACCUUACAAUCUAGGUAAAUAAUGAUCUGGUGGUAAAUAGACAUGUUAAUGAUGUGGAACAAUUUCUAAAUUUUUGGUGACAUUUUUUUCAACAAUAUUUUGCAUGAGAAUACAUUAUUGAAUACCUA